GAGCUGUAUAUUUCUUCUGGUUUCAGAUUUUAAAGAUUUACACAUAAAUUUUAAAUGAUUUUUUUAAAGUCUUUUCUAGUAUAACAUGUUUGCUUUCUUUCUUUCUGUCUUUUUAGUUUCAUAGCUUCUUUUUAAAUAAUUGCUCAUUCCCAUCAGGGCUCUUUCUGCUUUUCUUUUGCAGAAUAUGUGAGAUCCAGGCUGUUGACUGUACUACAAUAUCCUCAUUUACAGUGAGGGAAUGUGAGGGAUCCAGUAGGAUGGGCUCAAGACCAAGGCGCUACUUGUUCACAGGCCAUACAAAUGGCAGUAUUCAAAUGUGGGAUCUGACCACUGCUAUGGAUAUGGUUAACAAAAGUGAAGAUAAGGAUGUAGGUGGUCCAACCGAAGAAGAGCUACUCAAAUUACUGGAUCAAUGUGAUUUGAGCACAUCUCGCUGUGCUACUCCUAACAUCAGUCCAGCAACUUCCGUAGUUCAGCAUAGCCACUUACGAGAAUCAAAUUCUAGCCUUCAGCUUCAGCACCAUGAUACCACCCAUGAAGCAGCUACUUACGGUUCCAUGAGGCCUUACAGAGAAAGUCCUUUAUUAGCAAGGGCAAGAAGGACUGAGAGCUUUCACAGUUAUAGGGACUUCCAGACCAUUAAUUUGAACAG
rnacentral:sRNA from 1 species